rnacentral:rRNA from 1 species
GUGAUGUGAAGCGAAACUCAAAAAAGUAAGUCUCAUUCGGAUUGAAGGCUGAAAUUCGCCUUCAUGAAGCCGGAAUUGCUAGUAAUGGCAGGUCAGCAUACUGCCGUGAAUACGUUCCCGGGGCCUUGUACACACCGCCCGUCACACCAUGAGAGUUGGAGAUACCCGAAGCCUGUGAGCUAACAAACGAGGCAGCAGUCGAAGGUAGAAUCAAUGAUUGGGGUGAAGUCGUAACAAGGUAGC